GAUAGCAGUGCUGUUUACAACUAAUUGAUCACAACUAGUUGCAGAUUCCUUUGUUCCUUCUCCACUCCCACUGCUUCACUU
rnacentral:sRNA from 1 species